UAUCAAUGAUGACAAUAUUUGCUACUCUCGACUGCAAAGAGUGACGACAUACAAUCACCAAGAUCGCUGAGGUA